UACAGAGGUCUCAAGCGUUGUUCGGAUUCAUUGGGCGUAAAGGGUGCGUAGGCGGCGCGGUAAGUCGGGUGUGAAAUCUCGGAGCUUAACUCCGAAACUGCAUUCGAUACUGCCGUGCUUGAGGACUGGAGAGGAGACUGGAAUUUACGGUGUAGCGGUGAAAUGCGUAGAUAUCGUAAGGAAGACCAGUGGCGAAGGCGGGUCUCGUGGACAGUUCCUGACGCUGAGGCACGAAGGUCCAGGGGAGCAAACGGG
rnacentral:rRNA from 1 species